rnacentral:rRNA from 1 species
CUGGGAUUAGAUACCCCACUAUGCUUAGCCCUAAACACAAAUAAUUAUAUUAACAAAAUUAUUCGCCAGAGUACUACCGGCAAUAGCCUAAAACUCAAAGGACUUGGCGGUGCUUUAUAUCCCCCUAGAGGAGCCUGUUCUAUAAUCGAUAAACCCCGAUAGACCUCACCGAUUCUUGCUAAUGCAGUCUAUAUACCGCCAUCUUCAGCAAACCCUAAAAAGGAACAAAAGUAAGCUCAAUCACAACACAUAAAGACGUUAGGUCAAGGUGUAACCCAUGGAAUGGGAAGAAAUGGGCUACAUUUUCUACCUUAAGAAAAUUAAUACGAAAGCCAUUAUGAAAUUAAUGACCAAAGGAGGAUUUAGUAGUAAACUAAGAAUAGAGUGCUUAGUUGAAUUAGGCCAUGAAGCACGCACACACCGCCCGUCACCCUCCUCAAGUAAAUACAAUGCACUCAAACCUAUUAACACGCAUCAACUACAUGAGAGGAGAUAAGUCGUAACAAGGUAAGCAUACUG